rnacentral:rRNA from 1 species
CCGGUCUGAACUCAGAUCAUGUAAUAAUUUUACGUCGAACAGACGGAAAUAAAAUCCUUCUGCGGAUUUUAUUGUAUAAUGAUUCAACAUCGAGGUCACAAUUAAUCACUUAGAUUAGGUCUCUUAACAAUCAUUGUGCUGUUAUCCCUGGAGUAAUUUCUUUUAUUUAAUAAACUUGGUUAUCAAAUUUAUGUAAUUGAAUUUUCCCAAUAAAAUAAUGUAAAUUUCCAGGGUCUUCUCGUUUAUAAGAUUAGUUAGAGUAUUUGCACUCUAAGGUUGAUUUAAAUUUAUUUUAGUUAACAAUUAAUAUUACUUUUUUCCUUUCAUUCCAGUUCAAAUUUAUUAAACAAGUGAUUAUGCUACCUUAGCACAGUCAGGUUACUGCAGCAAUUUAAAAAAUCAUUGAGC